GAACGCUAGCUACAGGCUUAACACAUGCAAGUCGAGGGGUAGCAUUUCAGUUUGCUUGCAAACUGGAGAUGGCGACCGGCGCACGGGUGAGUAACACGUAUCCAACCUGCCGAUAACUCGGGGAUAGCCUUUCGAAAGAAAGAUUAAUACCCGAUGGUAUAAUUAGACCGCAUGGUCUUAUUAUUAAAGAAUUUCGGUUAUCGAUGGGGAUGCGUUCCAUUAGGCAGUUGGUGAGGUAACGGCUCACCAAACCUUCGAUGGAUAGGGGUUCUGAGAGGAAGGUCCCCCACAUUGGAACUGAAACACGGUCCAAACUCCUACGGGAGGCAGCAGUGAGGAAUAUUGGUCAAUGGACGGGAGUCUGAACCAGCCAAGUAGCGUGAAGGAUGACUGCCCUAUGGGUUGUAAACUUCUUUUAUAUGGGAAUAAAGUUUUCCACGUGUGGAAUUUUGUAUGUACCAUAUGAAUAAGGAUCGGCUAACUCCGUGCCAGCAGCCGCGGUAAUACGGAGGAUCCGAGCGUUAUCCGGAUUUAUUGGGUUUAAAGGGAGCGUAGGUGGACAGUUAAGUCAGUUGUGAAAGUUUGCGGCUCAACCGUAAAAUUGCAGUUGAUACUGGCUGUCUUGAGUACAGUAGAGGUGGGCGGAAUUCGUGGUGUAGCGGUGAAAUGCUUAGAUAUCACGAAGAACUCCGAUUGCGAAGGCAGCUCACUGGACUGCAACUGACACUGAUGCUCGAAAGUGUGGGUAUCAAACAGGAUUAGAUACCCUGGUAGUCCACACAGUAAACGAUGAAUACUCGCUGUUUGCGAUAUACAGUAAGCGGCCAAGCGAAAGCAUUAAGUAUUCCACCUGGGGAGUACGCCGGCAACGGUGAAACUCAAAGGAAUUGACGGGGGCCCGCACAAGCGGAGGAACAUGUGGUUUAAUUCGAUGAUACGCGAGGAACCUUACCCGGGCUUAAAUUGCAUUUGAAUAAUCUGGAAUCAGGUUAGCCGCAAGGCAAAUGUGAAGGUGUUGCAUGGUUGUCGUCAGAUCGUGCCGUGAGGUGUCGGGUUAAGUGCCAUAACGAGCGCAACCGUUAUCUUUAGUUAAUAACCGGUCAUGAUGAGGACUCUAGAGAGACUGCCGUAGUAAGAUGUGAG
rnacentral:rRNA from 1 species